CUUGAUCGAGCCGAGCCACAGCGGCCGGUCGGUGUCGCGAUCCCUGCCGUAGGUGGCCAGCAACGCCUGCGCCUC
rnacentral:antisense_RNA from 1 species